UGGGGGAUAUUGCACAAUGGGCGAAAGCCUGAUGCAGCGACGCCGCGUGGGGGAUGAAGGCCUUCGGGUUGUAAACUUCUUCUGCUCUGAACAAGGCAUGCUAAUGGGUGUGUUGAGUGUAGGGGUUGAUUAGCGCCGGCUAACUACGUGCCAGCAGCCGCGGUAAUACGUAGGGCGCGAGCGUUGUCCGGAAUUAUUGGGCGUAAAGGGCUUGUAGGUGGCUGGUUGCGUCUGUCGUGAAAGCUCAUGGCUUAACUGUGGGUUUGCGGUGGGUACGGGCUGGCUUGAGUGCAGUAGGGGAGGCUGGAAUUCCUGGUGUAGCGGUGGAAUGCGCAGAUAUCAGGAGGAAUACCGGUGGCGAAGGCGGGUCUCUGGGCUGUUACUGACACUGAGGAGCGAAAGCAUGGGGAGCGAACAGG
rnacentral:rRNA from 1 species